UGUCUUUUGGGAGGCAGCAGGAGGGGGAUAACCAGGCAUUAAACUUAGGGGCACUCAACCACUGAGCCACAUCUCCAGCCCUAUUUUGUAUUUUAUUUAGAGACAGGAUCUCACCCAGUUGCUUUGCUCCUUGCUUUUGCUGAGGCUGGCUUUGAACUCGUGAUCCUCCUAUCUUAGCCUCCUGAGCCACUAGGAUUACAGGCGUGUGCCACUGAGACUGGCUAUAUGCAUCCUUAAAGCCAUGUCUUCAUGGAGGAAGGCAACCUUCUCCAGGUACCUUGUUGAUUGUGAAACUGGAGUCUCCGGGGUUUGUUUCAUAAACAUACCAGAGACUGUCUCAAGAGACCAAUGGACUAACAUUCUUGCCAUGGGCAGUUUAUGGUAG
rnacentral:lncRNA from 1 species